GACGAACCGUGCAAACGUUGUUCGGAAUCACUGGGCUUAAAGGGCGCGUAGGCGGCCUCCGCAAGUCGACUGUGAAAUCUCUGGGCUUAACCCAGAACGGUCAGCCGAUACUGCGGGGCUAGAGUGCAGAAGGGGCAACUGGAAUUCUCGGUGUAGCGGUGAAAUGCGUAGAUAUCGAGAGGAACACCUGCGGCGAAGGCGGGUUGCUGGGCUGACACUGACGCUGAGGCGCGAAAGCUAGGGGAGCGAACGGG
rnacentral:rRNA from 1 species